CCUACGGGAGGCAGCAGUAAGGAAUAUUGGACAAUGCUCGCAAGAGUGAUCCAGCCAUGCCGCGUGCAGGAAGAAUGCCCUAUGGGUAGUAAACUGCUUUUGAACUAGAGAAAACCCCAGUACGUGUACUGGGCUGAUAGUAUAGUUAGAAUAAGCAUCGGCUAACUUCGUGCCAGCAGCCGCGGUAAGACGAAGGAUGCAAGCGUUAUCCGGAUUCAUUGGGUUUAAAGGGAGCGUAGGUGGACUGAUAAGUCAGUGGUGAAAUCUCCGAGCUUAACUCGGAAAUUGCCAUUGAUACUGUUGGUCUUGAGUACAGUUGCUGUGGGCGGAAUAUGACAUGUAGUGGUGAAAUACAUAGAGAUGUCAUAGAACACCGAUUGCGAAGGCAGCUCACAAAGCUGUAACUGACACUGAGGCUCGAAAGUGCGGGGAUCAAACAGGAUUAGAUACCCUGGUAGUCCGCACCGUAAACGAUGAUUACUCGCUGCUAGGGGCAACCUUUAGUGGCUUAGCGAAGCGAUAAGUAAUCCACCUGGGAGUACGCCGGCACGGUGAACGUCAAGGAAUUGACGGCGNGAGAGNGCGACGGCGACGACGAGGGAGGAGG
rnacentral:rRNA from 1 species